rnacentral:rRNA from 1 species
AGGGCGCACGGUGGAUGCCUUGGCACUAGGAGCCGACGAAGGACGUGACAAACGACGAUAUGCCUUGGGUAGCUGUAAGUAAGCGAUGAUCCAGGGAUUUCCGAAUGGGGGAACCCAACAGGUAAUACCUGUUACCUACAUCUGUUAAGGAUGUGAGGAGGAAGACGCAGUGAACUGAAACAUCUAAGUAGCUGCAGGAAGAGAAAGCAAAAGCGAUUGCCUUAGUAGCGGCGAGCGAAACGGCAGAAGGGCAAACCGAAGAGUUUACUCUUCGGGGUUGUAGGACUGCAAUGUGGACUCAAAGAUUAUAGAAGAAUGAUUUGGGAAGAUCAGCCAAAGAGAGUAAUAGCCUCGUAUUUAAAAUAGUCUUUGUACUUAGCAGUAUCCUGAGUACGGCGGGACACGUGAAAUCCCGUUGGAAUCUGGGAGGACCAUCUCCCAACCCUAAAUACUCCCUAGUGACCGAUAGUGAACCAGUACCGUGAGGGAAAGGUGAAAAGCACCCCGGGAGGGGAGUGAAAUAGAACCUGAAACCGUGUGCCUACAACAAGUUCGAGCCCGUUAAUGGGUGAGAGCGUGCCUUUUGUAGAAUGAACCGGCGAGUUACGUUAUGAUGCGAGGUUAAGUUGAAGAGACGGAGCCGUAGGGAAACCGAGUCUGAAUAGGGCGCCUUAGUAUCAUGACGUAGACCCGAAACCAUGUGACCUACCCAUGAGCAGGUUGAAGGUGCGGUAAGACGCACUGGAGGACCGAACCAGGGCACGUUGAAAAGUGCUUGGAUGACUUGUGGGUAGCGGAGAAAUUCCAAACGAACUUGGAGAUAGCUGGUUCUCUCCGAAAUAGCUUUAGGGCUAGCGUCGACAUUAGAGAUUCUUGGAGGUAGAGCACUGUUUGGGUGAGGGGUCCAUCCCGGAUUACCAAUCUCAGAUAAACUCCGAAUGCCAAUGAAUUAUGGUCGGCAGUCAGACUGCGAGUGCUAAGAUCCGUAGUCGAAAGGGAAACAGCCCAGACCACCAGCUAAGGUCCCAAAAUAAUUGUUAAGUGGAAAAGGAUGUGGGGUUGCACAGACAACUAGGAUGUUAGCUUAGAAGCAGCUAUUCAUUCAAAGAGUGCGUAAUAGCUCACUAGUCGAGUGACCCUGCGCCGAAAAUGUACCGGGGCUAAAACAAUUUACCGAAGCUGUGGAUACCUUUAUAGGUAUGGUAGGAGAGCGUUCUAUGUGUGAUGAAGGUAUACCGUGAGGAGUGCUGGAACGCAUAGAAGUGAGAAUGCCGGUAUGAGUAGCGAAAGACAGGUGAGAAUCCUGUCCACCGUAAGACUAAGGUUUCCAGGGGAAGGCUCGUCCGCCCUGGGUUAGUCGGGACCUAAGGAGAGACCGAAAGGUGUAUCCGAUGGACAACAGGUUGAUAUUCCUGUACUAGAGUAUGUAGUGAUGGAGGGACGCAGUAGGCUAACUAAAGCAGACGAUUGGAAGAGUCUGUCUAAGCAGUGAGGUGUGAAUUGAGUCAAAUGCUUAAUUCUAUAACAUUGAGCUGUGAUGGGGAGCGAAGUUUAGUAGCGAAGUUAGUGACGUCACACUGCCAAGAAAAGCUUCUAGCGUUUAAACAUACUCUACCCGUACCGCAAACCGACACAGGUAGUCGAGGCGAGUAGCCUCAGGUGAGCGAGAGAACUCUCGUUAAGGAACUCGGCAAAAUGACCCCGUAACUUCGGGAGAAGGGGUGCUGACUUUAAGUCAGCCGCAGUGAAUAGGCCCAAGCAACUGUUUAUCAAAAACACAGCUCUCUGCUAAAUCGUAAGAUGAUGUAUAGGGGGUGACGCCUGCCCGGUGCUGGAAGGUUAAGAGGAGUGCUUAGCGUAAGCGAAGGUAUGAAUUGAAGCCCCAGUAAACGGCGGCCGUAACUAUAACGGUCCUAAGGUAGCGAAAUUCCUUGUCGGGUAAGUUCCGACCCGCACGAAAGGCGUAAUGAUUUGGGCACUGUCUCAACGAGAGACUCGGUGAAAUUUUAGUACCUGUGAAGAUGCAGGUUACCCGCGACAGGACGGAAAGACCCCAUGGAGCUUUACUGCAGUUUGAUAUUGAGUGUCUGUACCACAUGUACAGGAUAGGUAGGAGUCUAAGAGAUCGGGACGCCAGUUUCGAAGGAGACGCUGUUGGGAUACUACCCUUGUGUUAUGGCCACUCUAACCCAGAUAGGUGAUCCCUAUCGGAGACAGUGUCUGACGGGCAGUUUGACUGGGGCGGUCGCCUCCUAAAAGGUAACGGAGGCGCCCAAAGGUUCCCUCAGAAUGGUUGGAAAUCAUUCGCAGAGUGUAAAGGUAUAAGGGAGCUUGACUGCGAGAGCUACAACUCGAGCAGGGACGAAAGUCGGGCUUAGUGAUCCGGUGGUUCCGUAUGGAAGGGCCAUCGCUCAACGGAUAAAAGCUACCCUGGGGAUAACAGGCUUAUCUCCCCCAAGAGUUCACAUCGACGGGGAGGUUUGGCACCUCGAUGUCGGCUCGUCGCAUCCUGGGGCUGUAGUCGGUCCCAAGGGUUGGGCUGUUCGCCCAUUAAAGCGGCACGCGAGCUGGGUUCAGAACGUCGUGAGACAGUUCGGUCCCUAUCCGUCGCGGGCGUAGGAAAUUUGAGAGGAUCUGCUCCUAGUACGAGAGGACCAGAGUGGACUUACCGCUGGUGUACCAGUUGUCUUGCCAAAGGCAUCGCUGGGUAGCUAUGUAGGGAAGGGAUAAACGCUGAAAGCAUCUAAGUGUGAAACCCACCUCAAGAUGAGAUUUCCCAUGAUUAU